GCAUCUUGGGGGUCGUUUUGGUUGGUAUGUUUUCGGUGGAAGGCUCUCUGCUCUCGCAACAACUUCCACCUGACAUACCUCUUCAGUAAUGCGUUAAAGUUUUAUCCUUAAGCGCCUUGUGGGUUUACUGUGUUGCAUACCUAUAUGUCGGUAUUGUAUGGAUCCAUUAAAGUCCCUUUUCAUAUGGCGUCACUAUUGGCGUUGGAUGAACACAAAAGCAAUCUCUAUGAUCCACUUUGUUGAUGCAUUUGCGUUGAUGUUGUGGCCUAAUGAGUGUUGCUUGGUCUUGUGAAUACGGAACCUGAUGUGGGCACGGGGUCUCACAUGAUCCUUGUUUUGCUUGACUUGAACGUUCUUGUUUCUUUGAAACGGCCGCCUAGCCCGAAUUGGCUCGUACCACCGGGUGGGAUUUGUUGUUGAAAAGAGAUGUGAGCGUUCUUGCUUUUCUAAAACGACCGCCUGUCUCGCAUUGGCUCGUACCAGCGGGUGGGUGACGUUGAACAUGAAUGCUACCUG
rnacentral:misc_RNA from 1 species